AUGUAUUUCAUUUGAAUGAUUUCCUUCUAUGAACUGUGAGUCAGUAAAACCUGAGGUUGCAUGUUGCGCUUCUAUUUUGGUUCAGUGUAGUUCUCAGCCCUACUUGAAGAGACACACAACACUCUGGAGGACAGACUAACACACACACACACACACUCUGGAGGACAGACAUACACACACUCUGGAGGACAGACUAUACACACGCACACACUCUGGAGGACAGACUAUACACACACACCUCUGGAGGACAGACUAAACACACACCACAACCUGGAGGACCAGACUACACACACACACACUGGAGGACAGAUACACACACACACACCACUGGAGGACAGACUACACACACACACACACACUGGAGGCAAUACACACACACACACACUGGAGGACAGACUACACAACAACACACACACACACUGGGACAGACUACACACAACACACACACUCUGGAGGACAGACUACACACACACACACACACUUGGAGGACGACUACACAACACACACACACACACUGGAGGACAGACUACACACACACACUGGAGGACAGACUACACACACACACACUGGAGGCACAGACAAAAAACAAACAAAAAACAAAAAUAGACACCACACACACUGGACGGACAACUCACACACCACACUCUGGAGGACAGACUAAACACACACUCUGGACAGACUCUAUACACACACCACCACACACUGGAGACGGAACUACAACACACACUCUGGAGGACAGACUACAACACACUCUGGAAAGCAUCCACACACACACACACUGGGGACAGAGUACACAAACACACUCUGGAGGACAGACUACACAACACACUCUGGAGGACAGACUAUACACACACACACCUGGAGGACAGCUACAACACACACCUGGAGGACAGACUACACAACACACACUCUGGAGGACAGCUAAACACACACUCUGGAGGACAGGACUACAACACACACUCUGGAGGACAGACUACAACACACACUCUGGAGGACAGACUACAACACACACUUGGAGGGACAGAAUACAAACACUCUGGAGGACAAUACACACACACACCACUGGAGGACAGAGUACAAACACACACUCUGGAGCAGACACCAGGAGACAGACUAUACACACAACCACACAACUGGAGGACAGAGUACAACACACACACUCUGGAGGACAGAGUACAACACACACUCUGGAGGACAGAGUACAACACAACUCUGGAGGACACAGAAGUACACACACACUCUGGAGGACAGACUACAACACACACUCUGGAGGACAGACUACAACACACACUCUGGAGGACAGACUAUAACACACACACACACACACACUGGAGGACAGAGUACAACACACACUCUGGAGGACAGAGUACACACACACACACUGAGGACAGAGUACAACACACACUCUGGAGGACAGAGUACAACACACACUCUGGAGGACAGACUAUACACCACACAAACACACUGGAGGACAGAGUACAACAACACUCUGGAGGACAGUACAAUACAACACACACUCUGGAGGACAGAGUACAACACCACACACUCUGGAGGACAGGUACAAAACACACACUCUGGAGGACAGACGACACACACACACUCUGGAGGACAGACUACAACACACACUCUGGAGGACAGACUACACACACACUCUGGAGGACAGACUAUACACACACACACACACUCUGGAGGACAGACUAUACACACACACACUCUGGAGGACGACUACAACACACACUCUGGAGGACAGACUUACAACACACACUCUGGAGGACAGACUACACACACACUCUGGAGGACAGACUACACACACACACAGCUGGGGGACAGACUACAACACACACAUCUGAGGACAGACUACAACACCACUCUGGAGGACAGACUACAACCACACACUCUGGAGGACGGUACAAACACCGAGACAGACUACAACACACACUCUGGAGGACAGACUACAAACACACACUUGGAGGACAGACUACACACACUCUGGAGGACAGACUACAAACACACACUCUGGAGGACAGACUACAACACACACUCUGGAGGACAGACUACAACAACACCUGGAGGACAGACACAAUACACACACACAAACACUGCUGGAGGACAGACUACAAACACACUCUGGAGGACAGACUACAAACACACUCCUGGAGCGACAGACUACAACACACACUCUGGAGGACAGAGUACAACACACACUCUGGAGGAAAGACUACAACACACACUCUGGAGGACCAGACUACAACAACACACACUCUGGGAGGACAGAGUACACACACACUCGGAGGACAGACUACAACACACUCUGGAGGACAGACUACUAACACACCACUCUGGAGGACAGGACAUACACACACACACUUGGGCAUGGACAGGACUCUAUCACACACACACACACACACACUGGAGGACAGACUACAACACACACUCUGGGACAGACUACAAACACACUCUGGAGGACAGACUACAACACACCUGGAGGACAGCUACCACACACUCUGGAGGAAGGACUCUACCACACACCACUCUGGAGGACAGACUAUACACACACACACACACACACACACUGAGAGACACGAUACAACACACACCACUCUGGAGGACAGACUACACAACACACACUCUGGAGGACAGACUACAAACACCACUUUCUGGAGGACAGACUACCACACACACUCUGGACGGACAGACACAUACACAACACACACCACUCUGGAGACAGACUACAAACACACACUCGGAGGCCAGGACACAAACACACACUCUGGAGGACAGACUACAACACACCCUCUGGAGACCGAUACAACACACACUCUGGAGGACAGACUACAACACACACUCUGGAGGACAGACUACACACACUCUGGAGGACAGACUACACACACACUCUGGAGGAUCAGUAGCACCCAGUUUAGAGGGAACACUGGUGAUCAGUGGGACCCAGUUUAGAGGGAACACUGGUGAUCAGUGGCACCCAGUUUAGAGGGAACACUGGUGAUCAGUGGCACCCAGUUUAGAGGGAACAUUGGUGAUCAGUAGCACCCAGUUUAGAGGGAACACUGGUGAUCAGUGGCACCCAGUUUAGAGGGAACACUGGUGAUCAGUGGCACCCAGUUUAGAGGGAACACUGGUGAUCAGUAGCACCCAGCUUAGAGGGAACAUUGGUGAUAUACAUGUCGUUGUUCUCACCUGUAGUUGAUGGCGAGGCGGACAUACUCGGCCCUGUUCUCCAGGGUGAUGUGGGAGUAUUUAGAGCUGAGCUGGAUAUCCUGUCCGCUGGCGUUAGGGACUGUGAAGGGGAGAGUCAUGCCCUCAAACUCCUCAGCAGUGGCCUCGUUGUCUCUGAUGUACAUCAGACCAGGGAUAAAGUCUUUAUCCACCUGAAGAGGAAGAGAACAACGCUCCAUUCAAAUAUACAAGUGUAGAAAUGACACGAGAAAAUACCAGUGGCCUUGCCUUUAGUUGUAUGUGUUUUCCAUCUAAAUUAGUGUUUUUCACUUGACUGUCCAUCUCUACAGUCUAGGAGACCUUGAACGGGAAUCUCAUGGGAGUUGGCUCUUAGGAGAGGAAUGCAUUUUUGACAUUGUUUUAAGUGCAAGUCAUAACUCACAUUUUGAAUGUGAGUCCUCUCUGAUUACUAUCAGAGUGUAUACAGAGUAUGACUGAGUGUGUGUGAGUGAUGCUCUCUGGUUGUAUUCUGGUGCUGGGUAAAUUCCUGUGCAACCUUUAGUAAAGCUUUGGGGCUAACCCGCGUGACAACAGAGGCUUUGUGAGGAAACAGCCUCUUCCUGUAUCACGGUCAGGCUGAACACGUUCCAGAAUCUCAUGAUUACAGCGUGGACGCAGGAGAGAUGCACACGGUACCACAGUACACACUAGUCUCUCACACAGUCACACGGUACCACAGUACACACUAGUCUCUCACACAGUCACACGGUACCACAGUACACACUAGUCUCUCACACAGUCACACGUACCCAAGUUACACACUAGUCAUCACACAGUCACACGGUACCACAGUACACACGUCCUCACACACAGUCACACAACAAGCACCAAGGCUGAAGAUGGGAGAGUAUACACAAACACACAUAUAGUAAUAUUAACAUGCUGAAUCUGGGAAAUCUUGACUAUAGACCUGUUAACUGUCAUUAGAGGGUAUCUGCAGAAUUCGACUUGACCGGCUAAAUGGCAUACUUGUUAAGACCUUUUGAAUAACCUUUGCAAAUACAAUUACAGUAGAAGGUAUAUGUAGUCAACAACUAUAACCCAGCCUGUUAACUACAGAUAUGUAGUCAACACUAUAACCCAGCCUGUUAACUACAGUAUAUGUAGUCACACGAUAA
ensembl:lncRNA